GACAUUUUAUUGUUUUUGUAGCUAUUGUAAAUGGGACUGCCUUCUCGAUUUUGUUCUAAGCUUUAUUGUUAUUGGUGCAUCGAAAUGCCACUGAUUUUGUGUAUGUUGAUUUUGCAUCCUGACACUUUACUGAAUUUAUAAAAUUUGUUUUUUGGAGGAGUCUUUAGGGUUUUCUGUUAUCUGGAGAAUCCAAGUUCCUUUUUGAGCAUUUUGAGCAUCAACUGCCUUUGCCCAGUAGGUGGCGAAAGCGUAGAAGGUACAGCUGUACCUAGUCUGAGUACCAGACUGCCGUUUUGAACUUAAUUUUGAUUUUUGUCUUUUGGUUUCAUUUGCUUUCUUUUAUUUUUGUCUUUUUAAUAAAGGCAAAUGCAAAAAAUAAGGUAAUCCACUGAGUUGUCCAUGUACAUUUAAGGUAAUCAAAAUUUAAAUAUAACUUUUCUUAAUAUCCUGGCAUUAUAUUUCUAAAAUGCAGGUCUUUUGCAGUCUCUUUAAACUAAAGCUAACUGAUAAGAAGAGCUAACAUAUCAUGAUCUUACAUUAUACUGUCUCAUCUAUGACAUUUUAGGAAAGGAAUCUUAGUAAUAGGAACACAUUUUCACACUUAUAAUUAUACACAGUAUUUUCAAAUAUUAAGGGGAAGGGAAAACAGGUAGAGGUUAAUAUUAUUCUACACACACACACACACACAUACAAACACAAUUAUUAACUCUAUAGGGGAGACUAUUCCCUAUAUAUACAGCCUUUAUAGAAAAGAUGACUCAUAGAGACCCAGGCAGUUGCCAGACACCAACAUCUCACUCUCAUUGGACCUGCUACAAGCCCUGUGCUGGGGAUUGACAUCAAGUGAUGAACAGCUCUGUCUUCUUCAUAUUUUUUUUGCAAGUGGGACUUCAGACUAUAUCGUGAUAGGAGGAGAAAGAAAAGCCAUAUUGCUAAAGCUGUGUGUGUAUGCCUGUGUAUGUGUGUGUAGUGUGUGCGUGCAUAUGCACACAUGCACUUUGCAGUGAAGAGAACAGACACUGCACUAUUAUGCAAAACAGCCAAAGGGACUAGGCAAAAGUGUAAGUCAAAUGCCUGCAGGGACCAGGCAAAUAAAAUGAGUGCAUAAAACAGGCUGGCUGUUAGAAAAUCAGCAGUGUGCUAAACGGAAAUGACACUUGCACUUGCUAUUGACACCACAAUCGGAAAUAUACAUGUAUGUGCAGGGGAGACAGACAAACAUACUGUAGCAAACUGGAGAACCCUUGUCCCUCCUAAUUAAUAGUUGGGCCAAAUCAUGUCUAUAGCUUGAAUUGGCCCCCGAGCCCAUCAGUUAGUGACUUCUCGACCUCUGUUCAAGGUGCAGCUCCUUUAUGGUUACUUAUUCUAAAUCCUUUCCUUGUUUUACCAAUGAGGAAUCUGACCCUCAGUUGGGUUCCAUUUAGGUCAUAUCCUCACUCUCUUGACUGUGUGCCCCUUAUCAGACAUUAUGCUUUCUUGCAUUUUUUUUCUCUAAUUAGUCCUAUUUACGUAGUAGACUGUCCUAAAGUGAACAGUUGUCCCUGAUCUUCGUUGGUUUUACAAGAGGAAAUGCACUGAACAUCUCAGAAGCCAGAAUUCUGAGUGAUCUGCCCAAUUGAUCUUGGCCGAUUUAACCCUCAGAACAGAUAAGCACCAUAAGUACUGCUCAUCUAUUUGUUGUUGUGUUGCUCUUUUCCUCUGCUUACUUCAUCCAGUUUCAGGGGUAACAGGACACUUGACAUUCCCUGCUUAAUGUGUUUGACAGUUUGAGUUCAAGUUGCAAUACUGCAUACUUCCAGUAGAGGGUACGUGUGCUUUUCAAAUCAAGUGUGAGUGCACCCUAGUAGGGAAUCAUUCUAGCUCGCUUUCCCGUUUCCAAGAAGCAAAGAUUCUUGGUUCUUUGUUGCUUUAAGAAAAUUUAGGCCAGGUUUUCCUUAGACAAGGAAAUUGAAAUUAAAACAGUAGCUCUUUUUAGUUUUUCUGGCAAUAGAGAUCAAAUUUGGGAGCAGUGGGUGAUAACACUGAGGAAUGUUAUCUGAGAUGACAAAUUCCUGAAGGUAAAUGUGACAUUUGGUUUUAUUACUCUCAGACUGCUUUUAUAGUAAUAGCAUAUGUAGGAUAACGUUCAAAGAUUAUCUAAGAUUUAUAGAUUUCAUUUAUUGAACAAUAUUUGCUAAGAACCUGCCUGCUAUGUCACAAGUAAAGUUCCAGGCACUGGGGAUGGAGUGGUGACAAGAUAAAGCCCAUUCUUCCUGUCCUGGAACUUAAUAAGUUCUAAGUGGGGGAGAGAUAAAAGAAGUAGUGAAAGAAUGAAUGAUAAUUGACUCAGAUACUGAGAACUGCUAAAGAAUGAAUGAUAAUAGACUCAUACAGUGAGAACUGCUAAGAUGCUAGGAUCGGCAGCAUGGGUGCUGUGGGGCAAUGUGGGAUGGAAAAUAUGAAACCUGCUCUCUGGGGAGCCGACCUGAAGGAAAGGAAGAAGCCAGCCUGUGAAGACCUUGGAGGGAGUGCCAGGCUGAGAGCACAAGUCUGCUGCAGUGAGAUUAAGACCAGCAUCUACUGGAGGCUACUGAAGGACCCAACACCCCAACUUCCAGAUCAUUCAGAUUUCCAGAGCUAGGUGAUUUGGAAAUAUCCAGGAGAUUCAGAAUCUUGAAAAUCUCCAAGAGUCUCAAUGGCCUAUGCUGGGUUAUAUGCCCAUCUUGAUCAGGGCAAGGUGUAGCCAAUUGGCCGGUUAUGGCCAAUAAAAUGUGACAGUGAUACAUGCUCCUUCAUACAGGACCAUUUAAGGGCUGGUGCAUUAUCUCCCUGCCAUCUUCCCCCUCCUGCCAUAACCAGAGGUGUUCAGAUGGUGAAGCCAUGCUCACUCCGUGUCUCUGAAUGUGUGCGUGAAGAAAAACUAGCCUAGCAUGUGAUGGACAUACAACAUGAGUGAGAAAUAAACUUCUGUUGUUUUAAAACUAAUCAGAUUUGGUGUGUUUUGUUGUUGUUGUUGUUUGUUUGUUUUUGCUUUUGUUUUUGUUUUGCUACUGCAGUAUAUUCAAGCCUAUCCUGACCCAAACAGGAAGUUUUAACUGUCUUUUUCUCAUAUUAGCAACCACUAAGUGACAGGCACCAUGUUAGGAAACAGGUUUCCUAAGAUAAAUAGUACAAUAAUCUCUCUAUUCUAGCUUCAUGGACGGGUUUAUUAAGAAAAAAAAAUGGAGCCUACCAUGUUGCCAAGCCCAACACUAAGCCCUAGGAAAAGAAACGUGAGCAAGUAAAGUAACCUUUAUCCUCAAGGAUCUUAGAGUCUGGUGGACUAACACUGAAUAAUUAUAUAGCAAUGACUGUAUAAUCACAGUUGUGAUUAAUGCUAUAGGGUGAAAGUACUGCAUGCUGACAGGGAGGCCUAACCUAACUUUAUUAAGGUGGGUAUUAGGAAAGGCUUCCAUGAGAAGAGGCCUUUCAUGCUGACACUGAAAUAAUGAGCAGAGAUCUCAGCCUCUAUCCAAAGAUGCCAAUAUGUUGAUCCUACUUUCCAAAAUCUGUUCCUUUUAGUACCUUGAUUCUAAAAUUGCUCUAUACCUUCAGUCUUUUACUAGACAUAUAAUAAGAAAAAAUUUCAUGGAGAGCAAAAACCAUUAUCUAAAUGAUUCCUGAGGAAGGAGACUGCCACCACCACUAGAAUUAUCCAAACAAUUGCAGGAAUAUGGAGACUGAACUGUAGUAAGUAGAAUGUCUGUAAUAUUCUUAUGCAAAUAAUCUACAUGGUAGCAAAUAGUACUUUUGGGUUUUGUACCAUUUAGAAUAAUGUUCUUGUGUACCUUACUAUUGGAAGCCAGCAUUAUUUCCCAUAAUUACCACUUACCUUAUUGCUAUUUGGUGCUGUCAUUUAAAAAUUUUUUACUUUGCCCGGCAUAUGUUUCAGUAGAAAAUAUCAGCCUCUUAAUGUUAUCAGCCUUUUAAAUUAAUUGUUUUCUUCUAGGGAAGAUUUCAGAAAAAAUAAUAAUAAUUCCUCAGGUUUGACUGUACUUCACAAUUUAUGCAUUAUCUCUCUUGCAUGUUAAAACCACCUUUCAGGAUAAGCAAGGCUGGUAACAUAUAUUUCUUCCUUUUAAGUGAGAAGAAUUGUCUCUGAGAGCUUCUGAGACUUUCUCAAGGUCUAUAGCUGGUAGGUGGCUGAACCACGAAGCAAACUCAAUACUGGUGAUAACUCAGUUUAGAACGAGAGGAAAUGUAUUCAUGAUCUGGCAGCUGAAACAUGUAGGUUUGGGUUGUUGCUCUGACAUUGACUCUGUGUGAUCUUAGGCAAGUCACUAAACAUCUCUGAUCCUCGUUUUCUUCUCUGUCAGAUAAAGAAAGAUAACUAAUUCAUGGGGUAAUUACUUGGAUUAAAUGAGAUGAGCUGUUCUUUACUCAUGUGGUAAUUUAUUUGGUUAUUCAUUAAAAUAUUACUCGAAUCUCACUAGUGCCAGGUACUGCCUAGAUACUAAGAACACAACCCUAGAAUGUCCAUACUUUCAGGUUACAGUGAAAGUGCUAUAAGGCUCAUAUAAUACCAUUUCCUUCCGCCCAGACUCUUUUUAUAACCUCCCAAAAGGAUUCAUUGCUUGCAUCAAUUAUAAAAUUGUGCAUGAUAAUGAGGAAGAAUAUUAAGUAUGAAAAGAAAAUUUAUCACCACAACCUUAUUACUUCUAUUGUCACUGCUACCCCUGACGAUGCAGAUCCCCUGAUGUAGAAGGGUGAGAAAAUAUUAACAAAUAGUAUUGACUAACAAUAAUACUGGAGUUACUAUCUGCAAAAGCUUUUCUACACCAAACUCAUGUUUUCUAUUUAUCCUGUCAAAGAGAGUGGCCACUGGUCUAGAAAUAUAAAACAUACCACUUCUAAAAAUAUUGAAGCUUCAUAAAGAUGGAAAGGCAGAAAUAUAAAUCAGUUCAUUUAUCUUAUUCUGAAUAAAUUUCACUUUUGUGCAAGGUAUUAAGAGAGAUUUUCAAUUUGCUCAGAUAUUGGUGAUGCUUUUAAAAAGGUGGGGUAAUGAGAUAAGUGGAUACAACAACAUAUAGGUUUAGGAGCUUAAUGUCAAUUCACAGCCAUAUUGUAGGACAAAUAAUCAAAUAGAUAAAGGGCUUAUGAGCUCAUGGAGAAAGAAGAAGUCAUACUAGAAAUAUCAAUUUUGCAAUUUCUUUUUUAAAAAUUUGGCUUCGAAUAGUCAAAAACAUUGUAAACAGUUAUAUCUGGAUGGAAGUAAGAGUUUAGAUGAAGUUACC